GAGGGAACUCUUGCCCAACCAUGCCGAGCGCAGGAUGACUGCCCUAUGGGAUGUAAAAAGGUUUUGUCCAGGAAUAAAUCUUUGUACGUGUACUUUACUGAAUGUACCGGAAGAAUAAGCAUCGGCUAACUUCGUGCCAGCAGCCGCGGUAAUACGGAGGAUGCGAGCGUUAUUCGGAAUUAUUGGGUGUAAAGGGUGCGUAGGCGGCUUUUUAAGUCAGGGGUGAAAGCCCGCAGCUCAACUGUGGCAGUGCCUUUGAUACUGUCGAGCUUGAAUGUGGUAGAGGAUGGCGGAAUGACGCAAGUAGCGGUGAAAUGCAUAGAUAUGUGUCAGAACUCCAGUGGCGAAGGCGGCAGUCUAAGUCAUACUGACGCUGA
rnacentral:rRNA from 1 species